ACACAAAUUACCCAGGGAAGCUUGUUAAACUUACAGUGUCUGAUUCGCUGUGUCUUAUAUGGGGCAUAAUAUUCUGCAUUUCUAAUAGGCUUCCCAGGUGAUGUUGAA
rnacentral:miRNA from 1 species